rnacentral:rRNA from 1 species
UACGAAGGGGGCGAGCGUUGUUCGGAUUUACUGGGCGUAAAGGGCUCGUAGGUGGCCAACUAAGUCAGACGUGAAAUCCCUCGGCUUAACCGGGGAACUGCGUCUGAUACUGGAUGGCUUGAGUUCGGGAGAGGGAUGCGGAAUUCCAGGUGUAGCGGUGAAAUGCGUAGAUAUCUGGAGGAACACCGGUGGCGAAGGCGGCAUCCUGGACCGACACUGACACUGAGGAGCGAAAGCCAGGGGAGCAAACGGG